rnacentral:rRNA from 1 species
UACAGAGGUGGCAAGCGUUGUUCGGAAUUACUGGGCGUAAAGGGCGCGUAGGCGGUUCGUUAAGUCCUGUGUGAAAUCCCCCGGCUCAACUGGGGAACUGCACAGGAAACUAGCGGGCUUGAGUUCGGGAGAGGGAAGCGGAAUUCCGGGUGUAGCGGUGAAAUGCGUAGAUAUCCGGAGGAACACCGGUGGCGAAGGCGGCUUCAUGGACCGACACUGACGCUGAGGCGCGAAAGCUAGGGGAGCAAACGGG